GACGAACGCUGGCGGCGUGCUUAACACAUGCAAGUCGAACGAAGAGCGAUGGAAGCUUGCUUCUAUCAAUCUUAGUGGCGAACGGGUGAGUAACGCGUAAUCAACCUGCCCUUCAGAGGGGGACAACAGUUGGAAACGACUGCUAAUACCGCAUACGAUCUAAUCUCGGCAUCGAGGAUAGAUGAAAGGUGGCCUCUACAUGUAAGCUAUCACUGAAGGAGGGGAUUGCGUCUGAUUAGCUAGUUGGAGGGGUAACGGCCCACCAAGGCGAUGAUCAGUAGCCGGUCUGAGAGGAUGAACGGCCACAUUGGGACUGAGACACGGCCCAGACUCCUACGGGAGGCAGCAGUGGGGAAUCUUCCGCAAUGGACGAAAGUCUGACGGAGCAACGCCGCGUGAGUGAUGACGGCCUUCGGGUUGUAAAGCUCUGUUAAUCGGGACGAAAGGCCUUCUUGCGAAUAGUUAGAAGGAUGACGGUAC
rnacentral:rRNA from 1 species